GCCAGGCAUGGUGGCACAUGCCUGUAGUCUCAGCUACUCAGGAGGCUGAGGCAGGAGGAUUGCUUGAGCCCAGGAGGUCAAGGCUGCAGUGAGCCAUGAUCGUGCUACUGCACUCCAGCCUAGGCAACAGAGUGAGAUCCUGUCUCAA
rfam:Homo sapiens chromosome 6, GRCh38 reference primary assembly.